rnacentral:rRNA from 1 species
UACAGAGGGUGCGAGCGUUAAUCGGAAUUACUGGGCGUAAAGCGCACGUAGGCGGUUUUUUAAGUCAGAUGUGAAAGCCCCGGGCUCAACCUGGGAAUUGCAUUUGAAACUGGGAAACUAGAGUGUGUGAGAGGGGGGUAGAAUUCCAAGUGUAGCGGUGAAAUGCGUAGAGAUUUGGAGGAAUACCAGUGGCGAAGGCGGCCCCCUGGCACAACACUGACGCUCAGGUGCGAAAGCGUGGGGAGCAAACAGG